rnacentral:rRNA from 1 species
AGCUUCGGCCAUCCGGCGAGGGAUGGGCCCGCGGUGCAUUAGCUAGUUGGUGGGGUAACGGCCCACCAAGGCGACGAUGCAUAACUGGUCUGAGAGGAUGAUCAGCCACACUGGGACUGAGACACGGCCCAGACUCCUACGGGAGGCAGCAGCCAGGAAUCUUGGGCAAUGGGCGCAAGCCUGACCCAGCAACACCGUGUGGGCGAUGAAGGCCUUCGGGUCGUAAAGCCCUGUUGAUAGGGACGAAGGGCGAAGGGUUAAUAGCCC